UAGCUCAGUCAGCUGAGCGUGGCGCUAACAAUGCUAAGGUCAUGGGUUCGAUUCCUGU
rnacentral:tRNA from 1 species